rnacentral:lncRNA from 1 species
UUUUGGUCUCCCUGUGGCCUGGUGGAUCUAGGAAGCCUGGAGGGGCCACUCCUUAGGAUACAUUCUGGAUGAUGCCACAAAUGGUAGUCCCCUGCUGUCAGUGUUCUUGGAGCCACGAGCCUUCAGGCGGGUGGUCAGCCAGCCCUGGGCUGAGAGAUCACUGUGCUGCUGGGAAGGACUCUGUCUUCAUGGGAUCCUACCUGGGCUGUUCCACCUGUGGAUAGAUUUAGACUUCUCUGUCUUUAAAAAGCACAGACACAUCAAAUUCUUUUGGCUUCCUGCUCAUGGUUCAGACAUUGGAAAUCAACCUGAAUCGUUUUUUUCUGUUUCUACCAUCAAGAGUCUCCCUGGGCCUCAGGAUACAUAUCCAGGACAUUCGUCCUGAGCUGAAACCCCCAAUGAGUACAUGGACUUUUGUUGCCGAUUUUUUGGUUUGGCCCUGGGUCUGACUCCCCAGUGAAGGGCUAGAUGAUGAGUUAUUAGUUAAUCCAGAAUGACCUUCAGUUAUAUUUUAUGGUCAUAUUAUCCUGCUUAGAGAUUUUAGCACACAAUGGAUCAAACAUGACAUGCUCCGUCAACAGUGAACUACAC